AUGAUGAAUCAAACUAGCUCACUAUGACCGACAGUGAAAAUACAUGAACACCUGAGAAACUGGAGAACGCAGGGAGUGGGGGGUAACCAUGUCUGAGGAAUCUUUCACCCACAGCUUUGUUUUUCUCUAGGUACUACUAACCAAUAACCUGCUUGGCUCAAAGGUGAGUAAUUUCACGGUAUUCAAUGCACUCAGUAUAUAGGGUAGGAAAAAGUGCCUUUUUAGGCCUGUGUUUGUGAUGACUUACAUGGAAUCUCGUUCGGCUGAUGACUUGCUGUUGAGACUCUGAAAUCUGAUUUUCUGAGAAUGAUGGGUGGGAACAACAUAAUGCGGGAUAUGAGAAGCACUACUGACUUGGUCUUCCUCCUUUCAGGGCCAGCACCUUCUCUCUAAAGCCCAAGAGGAGUUUGAGGAAAACUAGGUGUCUGUGUUCACUCCAGGCUGAAGUUACAGGUCUGAGCAAAUAAGGUGUAUAAAAAAUGGAAUCUGUCUUGGAGGACAUCAGAAGGUGAAUUUUCCAAGUUCUUGGACAACCUAGCUGUUGAAAAGCUUUCUGGGUUUGGGGGGUAUUUCAGAUGUACCUUAAAGUGUUAGCAGACACAGAUUAAGACACUGGGAGCCAAUGAAACAGCAGUUGAGGGUUUGCUGUGUAUCACAUUUCUGUAUUUUAUCACCCCCUUCCUGCAACAUUAUUUAUCUGGAAUCUACCUGCCCUUUUGUUUUUUAGAUACAAGGGCUUGGUUUUGUUACCCAGGCUGGUUUCAAGGCCAUAGCUUUAAGAGAUCCUCUCACCACAGAUUUCCAAAGUGCUGGGAUUGCAGGUGUGAUUCAUGGCACCCAGACUUUGCUGCCUUUCUUACAUGAUCCAGGCCCAGAACCCAAACUCAGGCACUGUAUAGAUGACCACUUUCGUAAACUACUGACCUAGCUUGUUGCCAAUUGUUGAUUGAACUUCCCAUAACUCCACUUCGUGUCUGUUCCUCUGUAUACAGCCACCUUCUGUUCCCGUCAUGAGCCUUUAGGUCUCCAUUUGCAUAUUGCAAAUACUAUGUUCCAUGUAGGUAGCUCAUUCAGGGCCUUGCUCUUCACUUCAAAAAAGGUUCCCUUGAGGACUGG
rnacentral:lncRNA from 1 species